rnacentral:rRNA from 1 species
UACGGAGGGGGCUAGCGUUGUUCGGAAUCACUGGGCGUAAAGCGUACGUAGGCGGACUGAUCAGUUGGGGGUGAAAGCCCGGAGCUUAACUCCGGAACUGCCUCCAAUACUGUCAGUCUUGAGGUCGAGAGAGGUAAGUGGAAUUCCAAGUGUAGAGGUGAAAUUCGUAGAUAUUUGGAAGAACACCAGUGGCGAAGGCGACUUACUGGCUCGAUUCUGACGCUGAGGUACGAAAGCGUGGGGAGCAAACAGG